rfam:Myotis davidii contig58923, whole genome shotgun sequence.
CUUGGAGGGGGGGGUCCCUCAGCCCAGAUUGUGAGAGGGCAUAGGCCAGGCCGAGGGACCCCACCAGUGCACU